rnacentral:rRNA from 1 species
UACGGGAGGCAGCAGUGGGGAAUAUUGCACAAUGGGCGCAAGCCUGAUGCAGCCAUGCCGCGUGUAUGAAGAAGGCCUUCGGGUUGUAAAGUACUUUUCAGUCGUGAGGAAGGUGUUAAGGUUAAUAACCUUAGCAAUUGACGUUAGCGACAGAAGAAGCACCGGCUAACUCCGUGCCAGCAGCCGCGGUAAUACGGAGGGUGCGAGCGUUAAUCGGAAUUACUGGGCGUAAAGGGCACGCAGGCGGUUAAUUAAGUUGGAUGUGAAAUCCCCGGGCUUAACCUGGGAAUGGCAUUCAAGACUGGUUAGCUAGAGUCUUGUAGAGGGGGUAGAAUUCCGAUGUGUAGCGGUGAAAUGCGUAGAGAUGUGGAGGAAUACCGGUGGCGAAGGCGGCCCCUGGACAAAGACUGACGCUCAUGUGCGAAAGCGUGGGGAGCGAAAC